rnacentral:rRNA from 1 species
GAUCAUGGCUCAGGAUGAACGCUAGCUACAGGCUUAACACAUGCAAGUCGAGGGGCAGCAUUUUAGUUUGCUUUGCAAACUAAAGAUGGCGACCGGCGCACGGGUGAGUAACACGUAUCCAACCUGCCGAUAACUCGGGGAUAGCCUUUCGAAAGAAAGAUUAAUAUCCGAUGGUAUAUUAAAACCGCAUGGUUUUACUAUUAAAGAAUUUCGGUUAUCGAUGGGGAUGCGUUCCAUUAGUUUGUUGGCGGGGUAACGG